AGACCGAAACCCACCCCCGGCCGCCGCCCAAGUUGCGGCGCUGUUCGUGGUUUCUGGGAAGUGCUAGAAACGUGGCCCUGAAAGCAUGGCGUCCAUUUACAUAAUGCUUUGUUUGCAUUUUGCAAGUUUCUUUCGGUUAAGCCCGCAGAAACCCCACCUCCCGCCCCGGUGGCGCUUUAGUUGUGGCAGACCCCUCAGCUGUUUAAGACAAUGGUGUGCCUCUUCGGGGCCGUAUUUACUCGUGGGGUGCCGCGCAGUGCUUUGGGGGCGCUCCUGCGGCUUUCCCCGCCCGGCUCAGGCUCCCGCUGCGGCCAGGCCGCCCUUGCCCCGCUUGGUGCAGCCGCCGCGCCCCGCGCUUUCCGGGGGCGGCCCCCGCCGGGCCGCCAUCUUGGACGGCUUUUCCUGCUGCAGGCGCUUCAGCACGUUCCUUCCGCCGAAGCAAGGCGGCUGUGGCCGCGGGGCGCCCGUCAUGGUUUCUGCCCCUGGUCCUUCCCUUCAGCUAAGCCAGGCAGGAAAGGCUGUUGGCGCAAAGUGCCUCAGGGCCCCUCAGGUUAGGCGGCUAACGGCUGACUCUCUGCGCCCCCCCCCCCCGCCCUCCAUCCCCCGGGGGUGGCCGCCAUUUUUCCUCCACACAAAAUGGCCGCACGUGGUCCGGAUUCGUCGCCAACGAGAAAUUGGGGUUCGCGCGAAAGCUCUCGAACGCGCCCCCGUCGCCCUCCUCCCAUCCCCCGCGCCUGUGGUGGCGCCUGCCCCGCUCCGCGAGCCCUCUGACCCCCCCCCGACGUCCCCACAGGGUGGUCCGCACCUGGGCGGGCGGGGGGCGACCUUUAAUGCCGUUCUCUCGAUAUGUGGAACGGGGAAUGGGAACUAAAAUGUAGGCAUGAAACCGAGGCUGCCGCUCAGUUUAAAUUCAGUCCCAGUGGGGGUUGGGUCCAUGGGCCACGGGAACCCCAGUAACAAAGCACUUGGGGAGUCGCUGCCUUAGGGAGCGGGGCGGGAACGGCUGCCCCCCGGCCCCGCGCCCCGAGGGGAGACCGGGGAAUGGCCUCGUCGGUCCGUGAAACACCGUGUCCCCGAGGCGACCGGCGGCCGGUGGUUUUUCCCGCCGGCGAGUCGGACAGUGACCCUCAGUUUGCCCCUGGUGGUCACGCUUAGUACAAGGGGCAUUUAUUGUGCCUGGACCAGGGCUCGGCCUGUGCGAGGCAUUUUACUGCAAACAUCUCAUUUUUACCGCGAUCCUCCGAGGUACCUCUGGUGAUCCUGAGAUCUGGCAAAAAGGGCGCUGGACUAUUCACUUCUUCAGACACCACCCAUUUUACAGAUGAAGCCACUGAGAUAAUGGAGCAACUGACUAAACAGUCACCACCCCACCUCUGGAGCCUCACACAGGAUUCUUUUCCUCCCACUUGAGUGACUGCAGGUGAGACAUGGUCUUGUCACUGUAACAUAAUAGUUGAGAAUGUGACUCUGGAGUCAGCCUUCUGGGGCGUGAAUUCUGACUCAGCCACUUACUGUGUGUCCUUGGAAGAGGGAGACAUACCAGAGGGAAGAUGGCCAGAUGAAGAUGGAGGCAGAGAUUGAAGUUAUGCUGCUACAAACCAAGGAAUGGCAAAGAUAACUAACAACCAUCAGAAGCUGGAAGAGGCAAGGAAGGAUUCUUCCCUACAGCCUUCUGAGGGAGCACAGCCCUGCUGACACCUUAAUUUUUGACUUUUAGCCUUCAAAACUGUGA